UUCUUCGUGGACCCUUCGUGGGUGGAGCCCUCCGUGGACUCUCGCAGCCGUUACCCUCCGUGGGUUGAAGUCUCCAUCAACGUGGAAGUACGAUAGCACCACCUAUCGGAACCACGAGAAAAAUCACCGCGUCUCCAAAAUUGCGUUUGCUCUUCUCCACCUCUCUUUACUACAUGUGCAAUUUACUUUCCGCUGCCUAUACUCUAGAAUUGCAUGUGUAGGGUGAUGCUUGACUUGAUCAUAAUUGUGAAUCUGCCAAAAACUGUUCUUUGUCAAAAGGCAGAAUUUUUAUAUUGUCAAGUAGUCUAAUCACCCCCCCUCUAGACAUACUUUCGAUCCUACAAGUGGUAUCAGAGCUUUGGUCUCCAUUGUAUUGGUUUCCAUUGCAUUGGACUCCAUAAGCUUGGUUUCACAACCUAGGAGAGUAUGGCGUCUAGUGAGGGUAAUUUUCGUAGAGGUCCUUACUUUGAUGGUACAAAUUUUGCUAGUUGGAAGCAUAAAAUGAAAAUGCAUAUUCUUGGCCAUAACGCAGCCGCAUGGGGCAUUAUUUGUGUUGGUAUGCAAGGUGAAUUCUUCGAGGAAGGAAAAGUUCCGGAUCGCGAAGCUACAACGGAAGAAUUGCGGAUGUUGCAAAACAAUGCUCAAGCUUGUGACAUUCUCUUCAAUGCCUUGUGUCCCGAGGAGUUCAACAAAAUCAGCCGUCUUGAGAAUGCAAAAGAGAUUUGGGAUACUUUGGUUGAAAUGCACGAAGGUACCGAGUCCGUGAAGGAAUCAAAGCUAGAUGUUCUUCAAGGUCAACUUGACAAGUUCAAGAUGAAGGAAGGUGAAGGAGUCGCUGAAAUGUACUCUAGGCUUGCUCUCAUCACAAAUGAGAUUGCCGGCUUAGGAAGCGAAGAAAUGACCGACCGAUUCAUCAUCAAGAAGAUUCUCAGAGCUUUGGAUGGAAAGUAUGACACCGUGUGCACUUUGAUCCAAAUGAUGCCAAACUACAAGAAUCUCAAGCCAACCGAAGUCAUUGGAAGAAUUGUUGCUCAUGAGAUGACACUUAAGGAUAAGGAAGAGCUUCACAACAAGUCAAGUGGUGCUUACAAAGCUACAAGUGAUGCUCCCACAACCUCAAGUGACAAGUUAGUUUCCAAUGAAGAGAUAAGCCUAAUGGUCAAGAACUUCAACAAAUUCUACAAGAAUAGAAGCAAAGAGAGAAGCUCAAAGUCUAGAUCAUAUGAUGAAAAGAGAUCUUCUAGUCGUGAUCGAAACUGCUACAAUUGUGGAAGACCCGGACACUACUCAAAUGAGUGUACAGCUCCCCACAAGAGAAGAGAAGAAUCUCCAAGAAGAAGAAGCUCAAGAGAUGAGUCACCUCGGAAAGAGAGAAGGAGCAGAGAUGAUCGUUAUGAACGAAGACCCUCUCGGAGAAGCAAGGAUUCGGAGAGGAAAGACAAGUCAUCAAGGAGCUACACAAGAAGAAAACAUCAAGCUCAUGUAGGUGAAUGGGUCUCCGGCUCCGACUCCGAUAAUCAAUCCGAAGGAAGCUAUCACUCCAACUCCGACUACAGUCAAGAUGAAGGUGUUGCCGGUCUUGCUCUCGUAUCCUCCAACUCCAACUCCUAUGACUUAUUUGAUUCACCAAAUGAGGGAAUUGGAAGAUGCUUCAUGGCUAAAGGCCCCAAGGUAUCACACCCUGAAUUCAUUGACUUCGAUAGUGAUGAGGAUGACUUGCUUGGUGAAGAUGAGCUCUUACUUGAUAAAUCCAAUGAACCUAGUAACAAUGAACAUGCUAGUAGUCUUUAUAGUCGAGAAGAGUCGAAUGACAAUGCUAUGAAGGAGAUUGAGCAUCUAACUAAAGAACUAAAAACUCUUAAGUUAGCUCAUGAAACAACUCAAGAAGAUCAUAGAGAGCUCCUAAGAUCUCAUGAGAAGCUACGCUUCGAGAAGCUCACUCUAGAGCAAGAACAUGAGUUUCUAAAAGCAAUCAAUGACGAUCUUCGAAAGAAGAGUUCUUCAUAUCUUGCCAAACGACUUAUCUUGUCUAAUUUCUUGCCACCCAUUAAGACUAAGCAUGACAAGCAUAAGAAAAAUUAUUCUUCUAGUAGUAACAAUAACCAUGCUAAAUCCAAUGUUGUUGCUUCUAGUAGUUCUCUUGAUUCCACUAACAAUGUUUCAAGCCAAGUUACACUUGAGCAAGAAAAUAGUUUAUUGAAAGGUAUCAUAGAGAAAGGUGUCUACAAG
rnacentral:lncRNA from 1 species